rnacentral:rRNA from 1 species
AUUCGAAAAUUCUGGUGGGGUAGUCGGCGGGGCGAACAAAAAACAUGUUGGGUCUCAUGGGAGGUAAUGACGAGACCAAUAUAUCAAGGAGGGUUGGGAUUUAGAGAUAUUGAGAUUUUCAACAUCGCCCUACUCGCUCGGCAAGCUUGACGAAUUUUGCAAUCUCCAGACACCCUAAGCGUAAAAAUUUUAAAAGCUCUUUAUUUUCCAAUGACUGACUUCCUUGAUGCAGAGCUUGGCACCCAACCUUCUCAAAUCUGGAGGGCGAUCAUAGAGGGAAACAUAAUUGGUUGCCUAGGGAUACAUCCAUGCGCCCCGUUGUUUGCCUAA